rnacentral:rRNA from 1 species
AAUAGAUACCCGGGUAGUCCAUGCCGUAAACGUUGGGAACUAGAUGUGGGGACCAUUCCACGGUCUCCGUGUCGCAGCUAACGCAUUAAGUUCUCCGCCUGGGGAGUACGGCCGCAAGGCUAAAACUCAAAGGAAUUGACGGGGGCCCGCACAAGCGGCGGAGCAUGCGGAUUAAUUCGAUGCAACGCGAAGAACCUUACCAAGGCUUGACAUAUACGAGAACGCCGUAGAAAUACGGAACUCUUUGGACACUCGUAUACAAGUGGUGCAUGGUUGUCGUCAGCUCGUGUCGUGAGAUGUUGGGUUAAGUCCCGCAACGAGCGCAACCCUCGUCGUAUGUUGCCAGCACGUAAUGGUGGGAACUCAUAUGAGACUGCCGGGGUCAACUCGGAGGAAGGUGGGGAUGAGGUCAAAUCAUCAUGCCCCUUAUGUCUUGGGCUUCACGCAUGCUACAAUGGCCGGUACAAAGGGCUGCAAUACCGCGAGGUGGAGCGAAUCCCAAAAAGCCGGUCUCAGUUCGGAUUGAGGUCUGCAACCG